UGUGUAUGUUCGUGUGCCUGCCUGUGGGUGUAUGUGGAAGUUUGGGUGAGCCUUGGGAAAAAAACUGUGUAUUUACCUUUAUAGUGUUUUAUGGAAGGCAGUCCAGCAGAUAGACGGGCAAACAGACAAACUCACAGACUGCUGGGAAGAUAUACAGACGGGCAGACAUUAAUUAUACGAACGCAUUUGCCUCAAAGCCCACAACAUAAUGGAGGUCUUGGACGUGGCGAUCAGAAACCUGUUCAUUUACAGGGACCUUAUCAAUGACCAAGCGCCGAGGAGCGCGUAAAUAACCCUGACACAUUUAUUUAUUCCACUCAAGUGGUUGACUCACGGCCGCUCACUCUCAGACAUGCGCACACACCUCACUCGCCCCCACCGGCUAAAUUUGGGUGCGUAUAAAUUGCCGUACCCGGACAUCUACCCACAUAGCGAGCUUGUCGGAGCUCCGAGAGAGGUGGAUAACAACCUUGACCACGCGUCACACCUGUAGCCCCCGGAGCUGUCUCCCCCACAACCCCCCGGGGCUACCCUCUUUCGGACACGCAGUUAUUUGCUUUGCACCUGCCACCUACCUGCUUUAGCAUUAGUUGCUGAGUCGGCGUUACACCCUAUACUGUCUACCCUCACCCCUUCCCAUGUUUUCAUCUCCCCCAGGCCUAUUUGUUUUUCUUUCAUCAGUUCAUCUUUGCUGGCGUCUUUUCGAAAUUUCUUUAAUGUCGUCCCGCGUUUUGAUGUUAACAAUCAUCGAGGUACAUCAAAACAGAGUCGACACGGUGAGAUCACGAACUUGUGUACAUCCGUGGUGAGAUCCCUUGCCACAGGUGUUUCGCUUCGCUUUCCCGGAAAUUUAGAUGUUAAAAAUAAGUCGAGAAGUAGUUCAGAUGAAAUACGAAUUCCUCGGGUCACGUGAGUCUGUUUGCACUGGUUAGCGUUUCCCUCUCUCAAACCGAAAUUAAGGAACUAAUUGGAGAGUUAUCAGCACAAUCUUUCCUCUUCUGUCUCAAAGGAACAAAACAGCUUCUUAAGCUGACAGGUGUUGUGGAGAGAAAAAUGACUUGGCAUGAGAGAAAGGUCACCGCCGGGAAGUACUGCCACAGAUCUUGCUGCUGAGGAUGAGGACAGAUGUUUCUGCGAGUCAACACACUACAAAAACGACCAAAAAGCGUUUCUGACGUAGAAGUUCAAAUAUUAAUCGAUAAAGCAAUAUAAACGCUCAA